rnacentral:rRNA from 1 species
GACGAACGCUGGCGGCGUGCCUAAUACAUGCAAGUCGAGCGAAGCGGCGGAUUGGUGAGUAACGCGUGGGUAACCUGCCCUUAAGUCUGGGAUACCAUCUGGAAACAGAUGCCAAUACCGGAUCCUAAAGGAUGGACUUGCGAUGCAUUAGCUAGUUGGUAAGGUAACGGAUUACCAAGGCGAUGAUGCAUAGCAGGGUUGAGAGACUGAUCAGCCACACUGGGACUGAGACACGGCCCAAACGCCUACGGGAGGCAGCAGUAGGGAAUCUUGCACAAUGGGCGAAAGCCUGAUGCAGCCAUGCCGCGUGUAUGAAGAAGGCCUUAGGGUUGUAAAGUACGUUCAGCGAGGAGGCGUUACUCGCAGAAGAAGCACCGGCUAACUCCGUGCCAGCAGCCGCGGUAAUUC